GACGAACGCUGGCGGCGUGCUUAACACAUGCAAGUCGAACGGAAAGGCCCUGCUUUUGUUGGUUGCUCGAGUGGCGAACGGGUGAGUAACACGUGAGGAACCUGCCCUUGACUUUGGGAUAACUUCAGGAAACUGGGGCUAAUACCGGAUAGAAUCUCCUGCUGCAUGGGGGGGGUUGGAAAGUUUCGGCGGUUGGGGAUGUACUCGCGGCUUAUCAGCUUGUUGGUGGGGUAGUGGCUUACCAAGGCUUUGACGGGUAGCCGGCCUGAGAGGGUGACCGGCCACAUUGGGCCUGAGAUACGGCCCAGAAUCCUACGGGAGGCAGCAGUGGGGAAUAUUGCACAAUGGGCGGAAGCCUGAUGCAGCAACGCCGCGUGCGGGAUGACGGCCUUCGGGUUGUAAACCGCUUUCGCAUGUGACGAAGCGUGAGUGACGGUAAUGGGUAAAGAAGCACCGGCUAACUACGUG
rnacentral:rRNA from 1 species